rnacentral:rRNA from 1 species
AUUGAACGCUGGCGGCAGGCUUAACACAUGCAAGUCGAGCGGGGUGAUGGUGCUUGCACUAUCACUUAGCGGCGGACGGGUGAGUAAUGCUUAGGAAUCUGCCUAUUAGUGGGGGACAACAUCUCGAAAGGGAUGCUAAUACCGCAUACGUCCUACGGGAGAAAGCAGGGGAUCACUUGUGACCUUGCGCUAAUAGAUGAGCCUAAGUCGGAUUAGCUAGUUGGUGGGGUAAAGGCAUACCAAGGCGACGAUCUGUAGCGGGUCUGAGAGGAUGAUCCGCCACACUGGGACUGAGACGCGGCCCAGACUCCUACGGGAGGCAGCAGUGGGGAAUAUUGGACAAUGGGGGGAACCCUGAUCCAGCCAUGCCGCGUGUGUGAAGAAGGCCUUAUGGUUGUAAAGCACUUUAAGCGAGGAGGAGGCUCUUUUGGUUAAUACCCAAGAUGAGUGGACGUUACUCGCAGAAUAAGCACCGGCUAACUCUGUGCCAGCAGCCGCGGUAA